rnacentral:rRNA from 1 species
GUCUACUUGAAUGUAUAAGUAGUCUAGCCUGCCCACUGAUAAAUAGUUUAAAGGGCCGCGGUACUCUGACCGUGCAAAGGUAGCAUAAUAAUUAGGUCUUUAAUUGGGAUCUUGUAUGAAUGGUUGGACAAAAGAGAAACUGUCUUUGUGAUAUAAGUUGAAUUUAACUUUUAAGUGAAAAGGCUUAAAUAUUUUAAAAAGACGAUAAGACCCUAUAAAGCUUAAAUAUAAUAUUUGGUAAUUUGUUUUAAUUUUUAAAUUAUAAAAUUUUAAUUAUAAUUUUAUAUUUUAUUGGGGCGAUAAAAGUAAAAUUACUAUUAACUGCUUUAAAAUACUACAAAAAUAAGUGAAUAAAAUUAUUAGAUGAUCCUUAGUUAGAGAUUAAAAGAUUAAGUUACUUUAGGGAUAACAGCGUUAUUUUUUUUGAGAGUCCAUAUCGAAAAAAAAGUUUGCGACCUCGAUGUUGAAUUAGGAUGUCUUUGUGAUUGCAGCAGUUACAAUAGAAGGUCUGUUCGACCUUUAAAUUCUUACAUGAUUUGAGUUCAGACCGGCGUGAGCCAGGUUGGUUUCUAUCUUUUAAUAAUUUAAUAAUUAUUUUAGUACGAAAGGAUUAAAUAAUUAAAAUUAUUUUAAAUAUGA